UACGUAGGGUGCAAGCGUUAAUCGGAAUUACUGGGCGUAAAGCGUGCGCAGGCGGCUUUGCAAGACAGAUGUGAAAUCCCCGGGCUUAACCUGGGAACUGCAUUUGUGACUGCAUGGCUAGAGUGCGGCAGGGGAGCAUGGAAUUCCUGGUGUAGCGGUGAAAUGCGCAGAUAUCAGGAGGAACACCAGUGGCGAAGGCGGUGCUCUGGGCCGGAACUGACGCUGAGGAGCGAAAGCGUGGGGAGCAAACAGG
rnacentral:rRNA from 1 species